GUCCACGCCGUAAACGGUGGGCACUAGUUGUGGGAACCUUCCACGGUUUCUGCGACGCAGCUAACGCAUUAAGUGCCCCGCCUGGGGAGUACGAUCGCAAGAUUAAAACUCAAAGGAAUUGACGGGGCCCCGCACAAGCAGCGGAGCAUGCGGCUUAAUUCGACGCAACGCGAAGAACCUUACCAAGGCUUGACAUAUACAGGAAUAUGGCAGAAAUGUCAUAGCCGCAAGGUCUGUAUACAGGUGGUGCAUGGUUGUCGU
rnacentral:rRNA from 1 species